rnacentral:tRNA from 1 species
AGUAGCUCAGUAGGAUAGAGCAACGGCCUUCUAAGCCGUGGGUCGGGAGUUCGAAUCUCUCCUG